GACAAACGCUGGCGGCGUGCGUAACACAUGCAAGUUGAACGCGAAUAUAUGAGAAGUGGUAACACGGAUUGUAUGUUUGAGUAGCGGACGGGUGAGUACAACAUGAGAACCUAUCCUUCAAAGGGGGACAACGUUUGGAAACGGACGCUAAUACCCCAUAAGCCGAGAGGUUAAAGCAGCGAUGCGAUGGAGGAGGGGCUCGUGUCCUAUCAGCUAGUUGGUGGGGUAAUGGCCUACCAAGGCGACGACGGGUAGCCGGCCUGAGAGGGUGUACGGCCACACUGGAACUGAGAUACGGUCCAGACUCCUACGGGAGGCAGCAGUGGGGAAUAUUGGGCAAUGGGAGAAAUCCUGACCCAGCGACGCCGCGUGAACGAAGACGGCCUUCGGGUUGUAAAGUUCUUUUAUGUGGGAAGAAAACAAUGACGGUACCACAUGAAUAAGCCCCGGCUAACUACGUGCCAGCCGCCGCAGUAAGAC
rnacentral:rRNA from 1 species